rnacentral:lncRNA from 1 species
UUCGAGGUAUGGUGCUGGGUGCAGAUGCAGUGUGGCUCUGGAUAGCACCUUAUGGACAGUUGUGUCCCCAAGGAAGGAUGAGAAUAGCUACUGAAGUCCUAAAGAGCAAGCCUAACUCAAGCCAUUGGCACACAGGCAUUAGACAGAAAGCUGGAAGUUGAAAUGGUGGAGUCCAACUUGCCUGGACCAGCUUAAUGGUUCUGCUCCUGGUAACGUUUUUAUCCAUGGAUGACUUGCUUGGGUAAGGACAUGAAGACAGUUCCUGUCAUACCUUUUAAAGGUAUGGAGAGUCGGCUUGACUACACUGUGUGGAGCAAGUUUUAAAGAAGCAAAGGACUCAGAAUUCAUGAUUGAAGAAAUGCAGGCAGACCUGUUAUCCUAAACUAGGGUUUUUAAUGACCACAACAAGCAAGCAUGCAGCUUACUGCUUGAAAGGGUCUUGCCUCACCCAAGCUAGAGUGCAGUGGCCUUUGAAGCUUACUACAGCCUCAAACUUCUGGGCUCAAGUGAUCCUCAGCCUCCCAGUGGUCUUUGUAGACUGCCUGAUGGAGUCUCAUGGCACAAGAAGA